rnacentral:misc_RNA from 1 species
CAGAGUUCAUGCCCUCACGGGUAGAUCUCCCACCCUUGAAUAUUAUACCUUUGUUGCUUUGGCGGACCGCUUCGGCUACCGGCUCCGGCUGGUAAGUGUCCGCCAGAGUCAAACCAAACUCUUAUCAUUAGUGUCGUCUGAGUACUAUAUAAUAGUUA